rnacentral:lncRNA from 1 species
GACCGCGCCAAUAAUUUUGCUGCCGCGCCAAAAAAAUUUCGGGACGAGCGCGCGAGAAUAAUUGUGGUGUGCUUUGACCGGUCAGGCUCAAGACUAGUGAGGACUGAGGAGCUGAGGACAGAUACCCAUUCAGCUGCCAGCAGACCCCUCUUCUUCCUCCUCACCCCCUCUCCACUGCCUCCUUCCCCCAGAUUCACCACCAUUAAUCCCCCAAAUCAACCACCAUGGAUUCUCUCCACUAGAAUCUCCGGUCACCCUCCCACCCUAUCUCCGGCAUCAUCGUGCCCUCCACCGCGCCCACUAACUAUCUCCCCUGCCUCUCUAUCCAGAUCUCUCAGUCCAGAUCCAAAGUUGCAGCCUCCACCAGCUCCGGCAACUCCAGCAACCAAAUCCCUGUUCGAGGUUGAAGCUACUGCAUCAAAAUCCCCAAUUACUUCAUUAUUAGGUGGAUGCACCCUAGAUCUACUGAGAAUUGUUUUAGCGAAUUUCUUUUUCCUAAACUUAGGUUUGUCUACAAUUGUUAGAGGGCUCGAUGCAGCUAAGGAUGGCCACAUGGGAAGCAAUGGCCACAGCAUAUGUUCUACUAGAAGAGGAUUUACAUACUUGGGACCUUUGUCGUUAAAUUGA